CACGUAGGGGGCAAGCGUUGUCCGGAUUUAUUGGGCGUAAAGAGCUCGUAGGCGGCUCGGUAAGUCGGGUGUGAAACCUCCAGGCUCAACCUGGAGACGCCACCUGAUACUGCUGUGGCUAGAGUCCGGUAGGGGAGUGUGGAACUCCUGGUGUAGCGGUGAAAUGCGCAGAUAUCAGGAAGAACACCAGCGGCGAAGGCGAGUCCCUGGACAACUCCUGGCACUGAGGCACGAAAGCUAGGGGAGCAAACAGG
rnacentral:rRNA from 1 species